ACGGGUAGCCGGCCUGAGAGGGCGACCGGCCACACUGGGACUGAGACACGGCCCAGACUCCUACGGGAGGCAGCAGUGGGGAAUAUUGCGCAAUGGGCGAAAGCCUGACGCAGCAACGCCGCGUGAGGGAUGACGGCCUUCGGGUUGUAAACCUCUUUCAGCAGGGACGAAGCGAAAGUGACUGUACCUGCAGAAGAAGCGCCGGCUAACUACGUGCCAGCAGCCGCGGUAAUACGUAGGGCGCAAGCGUUGUCCGGAUUUAUUGGGCGUAAAGAGUUCGUAGGCGGUCUGUCGCGUCGGAUGUGAAAACCCGGAGCUCAACCCCGGGCCUGCUUUCGAUACGGGCAGACUUGAG
rnacentral:rRNA from 1 species